CACAGAGGGGAGAUGGGGUGCUGUGCUCCUGGUGGCAGGGGACACCCGCGGGUGUCAGUCCCGGAUNCUCUGCCAGGGCUGUCGGCAGGUGUCACAUCCACGGGGAGACACCGUGUGGGCAUCCCGGGUAGGGAGGCUGGUGCCUGCCGAAACUGGGCAGUGCUGGGGCAGAAGGGGGCAUCCAACCAACCGGAUGCCCACUAGCCGGGGGGUGGAGAGCAGAGGGAAUGCAAAACCCUCUCCCUGCAGAGCUGGUGUCAGAGGCUGGUGGGCAUGUGAGCAUGGUGGCACUAGCAGCACCGUGGGGCCAUCCCAGCUCUGCCCCCCUCAAUAGGCAGAGGGUUCCAGCCGCUGCAGGAGGGCUCUGCUCUCCCUGCAGUGCCACAGAGCCCCAGCUCCCCGUGCAAGCCUCCCCCUGCACCCACGCUGUCCUCGCAGAGGAGGAAUAAUUUGGAGAAACCAUGGCAACCCCACAGCUCCACCGGCAGUGGGUGCCGCUGGUGGGUGGAAGACACCGGAGCCUGUGGGAUGCAGCGCCCACAUCCCCAGCGCACAGGGAUGCACACACGCUGGGGGACAGUUCUUUGGGUGGCAGUUCCUUUUGGUCCAGCAGGGCUGUGGCUGCAGAGGUCUCUUGAGGGUGCUCCAUGCACUCACAAGGCGUCCAUGGCCCCAGCAGCCACACUUCCACCACACUGGCAGUGCCCAAGGAGCCUCAUGUGCCUUGUUUGUUUUACAGUGCUGGGAUGGAGUCACCACAGGCCCCUCGGCCACCUCAGCCCACCCAGCCCCUCACUGCUGCUGCUGCUGGACCAGCCCAUCACAUGGACAGACACCCCAAGGCCACUGGAGUCACCUCAGCUCUGGCAUCUGCACCCCCCCAGCUUUGGAGCAGGGUGGGCUACCGUCCUCUGAGGCCGUGUGACAGGGAACUAGCAGAAGAGUCGCUUUUAAGAUGACACGAACAGACCCACCUGACAUUCUGGUGUCCACGGUGUACCAAGACAUCAAGGUGGCGACAGCAGCCCCUGGGGAUUCCGUUGUCUGUCAGCCCCUAGCACAAUGUGAUGCCUCCAUGUCCUCCUCCCUGUCCCGCGAGCCGCAGCCCUUCAACAAGCGCCAUUGUAGGAGUUUCGACUUCAUCGAGUCGCUGGAAGAGCUGGGCACCCCCUCGGCCAUGGAGCGCGCCUGCCCNCAGCUGUGGGAGUGACCAGGCUGCUCUGUGGCAUGCGCUGAGGGGAGCUGGAGGCAGACUCAGCGCCCAGCCCAGGGCACUGGUGUCAGGGCAC
rnacentral:lncRNA from 1 species